rnacentral:rRNA from 1 species
UACACUCCUGCGGGAGGCAGCAGUGGGGAAUUUUGGACAAUGGGGGCAACCCUGAUCCAGCAAUGCCGCGUGAGUGAAGAAGGCCUUCGGGUUGUAAAGCUCUUUUGUCGGGGAAGAAACGGUGGUGGCGAAUAACUACUACUAAUGACGGUACCUGAAGAAUAAGCACCGGCUAACUACGUGCCGGCAGCCGCGGUAAUACGUAGGGUGCAAGCGUUAAUCGGAAUUACUGGGCGUAAAGCGUGCGCAGGCGGUUGUGUAAGUCAGAUGUGAAAUCCCCGGGCUCAACCUGGGAAUUGCAUUUGAGACUGCACGGCUAGAGUGUGUCAGAGGGGGGUAGAAUUCCACGUGUAGCAGUGAAAUGCGUAGAUAUGUGGAGGAAUACCGAUGGCGAAGGCAGCCCCCUGGGAUAACACUGACGCUCAUGCACGAAAGCGUGGGGAGCAAACAGGAUUAGAUACCCUAGUAGUCC